AAGAGCCUGAUGGAGUAGCAAAGCAGACGAGUGUGAUCCUGGGCACUCUGACUGUUGUCCUUGUGAUAGUCAUCGUUGGUCUGAUUGUGAAAAACAGGAAACUUCAGACAGAAGAACAGAGUGCAGUGCAAAGUCAGAAUGUGGGCUCUGAUGACGUGAACUACGCAGCAGUGACAUUUCAAACAACAAGAGCAAAAAGAAGAGAGCUGGAGCCAAAUGUUGUUUAUGCUGCCACUAGAUAGACUCAGCAGGCGACUGGAACUGAUGCUGGAUCAUAUUAAUGUGCUGCUUCAGAGCUUUUGUACGACUUGUAGGUGACAGGAAC